GUUCUCGCGUGAAAUUCAUUUUGCACCAAAAACCAAAGAAAAUAACUGGGGAACCAAAAAGCCAUUCAUUUCCCCCAAAUAUUUUCUCUCUCCCCUUUCUUCUUAACCCUUACGAAUCUUCCUAAUCCAUUUUCAGCUCUGUUUUCAGUUCGAUUUUUCUUCAUCGUCUACAAAAUCACGGAAGGAUACAUCUGAAAUCGCAGACGAUGAGGUGAAUGUUUCCGCCAUUGAAGUUAUGAAAACCUAGUCAAACGCCGCAAAGCUUGACUGAUACUUCACAGUGACGGUGAAGCAUGACUCAGUUUAGUUCCGAUUGAAGUUCCUCGCCUUCGUUCUAGAUUAUCAACCAAAAUGGGUAGACAGGCUAAAAGCGAUAAUGAAAAUACUGAAUCAGACCCGGUAUGAUUUUGUUAUUUGUUACUUGGUUAAUAUAGUUAUUUUUGUUGGUUUUAUUCUACAAUUUGUUAUUGGUUUAAGGCUGAAGAAAUGUAUGAAAUUGCGGAUAGAUAGGUAAAAGUGGCUAUAAAGAAGAAAGCCCCAAUAGCAAAACGUUCCAAAAUGGUAAUAUUUCUAAAACAACAUACACAACCACCUAGACAACCCCAAGCCACAAAACCAUCACCGGCCACAAAACCACCACCGGCCACAAAACCACCACCGACCACAAAACCCUCAACAUCUAAAAGCAAAAGAAAUCUAUCAAAGAAAAUGCCUAGUCCAUCCAAAGAAGCUUCAACAUCAUUUCAACAUGGUUUGGAAUUUGUCUCUUCUGAAGUUGUCCAAGUUGAAGCUAACGCAACAGAAUUGGUAAAUACACGUUCUCUUAUCCUAGAAAAUAUCGAAUCAACUCCACACCAAUCUAAUAUAGAAAGGGAAGAAGAAGAAGAUGAUGAUGAUGGUGAUUCAAUGGAAGAAGGAGACUUACAACAUCUUAGCCAGUCAACAAAGACAUACCUUGAAAUAGUUUGAGAGAAAUUUUACCCGGAUAUCCUAAAAAACAUACAUCGAAUCAUCACAGGCUAUUGGAGGGGGUCAUACGUGAACUGGAAUCAAGUUCCAGAAUACAUUAAGAUCAUGUGGUGGGAACAAUUUACAGAGUCAUUUGAGUGGGAUCCUACUAAAGAGGAGGAUGUGAAUAAACUAUUCAAAAAGAAGGCUAGUUCAAAUAUCAUAAAUUUUAUGACUAGGGCCAAAAAAUCUUUGAAGAAGCCCUCACACAUUACUUUAGAAGAUUGGACUGAGAUGAGGAAAAAAUUUGUUGAACCUAAGUAUUCGCAGAAGUGCACGAAGAUACAAAGAAAUUGAAGGAAAUACACAGAGGACGGUGGUGCAACAUAUUGUGGAGGUUCUAUCCCGGCUAUUGAGCACCAAAGAAGAUUGACCGAAGAACAUGGAAGGCCCGCAACCAUUUAUGAGAUAGUUGAAAAGACAUUUAAAAAGAAAGAUGGUACAUAGAGUGGAAAAAGGGCAGUAGAAGUUAUGGUAUGUCUUAUAAACUUCAACUACCUAAUUUGUAUGUCAAUUUAAAAUGUUGAGAUUAAUUUAUAUACAUAUCUGACCAUAUAUUUUUUUUAUGUAAAAUUCUUUCACUCAACUCAAUAAAACUCAAGAAUUUAUGGAUAUGAAUGAGAAAAAAUCGGAAAUGAAACUAUGGAUGGAGGCAGCGGGGGAAUUCAAGAGUGGGCGUGUAUUUGGAAUAUGAUACAUGGGUAGGAAACAAGUAUUUCAGAAUGGUCAGUUUAGUACACAACUAAGUUUGGAAGUAAAUACCCUCAAAGAAACGGUAAGUGCUUUGCAAAUGCAAAUUCAGAGAAAGAUAAAAAGAAUGCAAUUCAUAAAGAAGAAUAUACACAACAACAAGAGAGAAUUAAAUUGUUAGAAUCCAGUCAAGUUGAAUUGAUUCAGGACAAAGUUCAUAUUCAAAAUGAAGUAAAGUCUUUAAAUGAAAAAAUAGAUGAAUUCAUUAGAUUAUGGAAAGCAUCGGGUCAACAAACGAGCCAAAACAUUACAAAUUCGGAGGGAUUAUAAAGAAGGUUAGUGAUUUCAAUCUUGUAUUUAGUUUAUAAGCUUCAUUUAUAAAUGCAAGGUAAAUGCUAUUGAGUGGAGUUAUAAUCUGAAUGUAUGAAGUAUGUUGUAUUAUUAGUUUGAUCAUUUAUGCUAAUAGGUAGUUAUAAUUAGAUAAAUAAAUAGAUAGUUGAGAAAAAUAAUAUAGACAUUUAGUCAAAUCAUGUUUAAUCCUGAAUAUUUUGAACAUGUUUAUUUGUAAAAUACCUAGGCUUUGAAGUUGUUUAUUUUGUAUAAUAUAAAAAAAUUGGAUUCUUGUCUAAUGCUAUGGGAGAAUGCACCAUGUGUGGGAUUGGUCUUUGGGUUCAAAUGUUGUAAGAAAAUCAUUAUAUUUGAUAUAUUCAAUAAAUGAAGUAGAUACAAAAUCUAGUUAGUUAAUUAUUUUGUUAAAUGUACACAGGUUUGUCUAUUGGAAAUAUAUUUGGCAAUGAAUGGGGUGACCAAUGGA